GUCCACGCUGUAAACGAUGAGUACUAGAUGUCGGAGGUUUUGACCCCUUCGGUAUCGCAGCUAACGCAAUAAGUACUCCGCCUGGGAAGUACGGCCGCAAGGCUAAAACUCAAAGGAAUUGACGGGGGCCCGCACAAGCGGUGGAGCAUGUGGUUUAAUUCGACGCAACGCGAAGAACCUUACCCAGGCUUGACAUCUAGAGAACCUUUACGAAAGUAAGGGGUGCCUUCGGGAGCUCUAAGACAGGUGCUGCAUGGCUGUCGU
rnacentral:rRNA from 1 species